UACAGAGGGGGCAAGCGUUAUUCGGAAUUAUUGGGCGUAAAGGGCGCGUAGGCGGCCUGACAAGUGGAAGGUGAAAUCCCUCGGCUUAACCGAGGAACUGCCCUCCAAACUGCUUGGCUUGAGUCCGGGAGAGGUGAGUGGAAUUCCUGGUGUAGCGGUGAAAUGCGCAGAUAUCAGGAGGAACACCAAUGGCGAAGGCAGCUCACUGGGACGGUAUUGACGCUGAGACGCGAAAGCGUGGGGAGCAAACAGG
rnacentral:rRNA from 1 species